rnacentral:lncRNA from 1 species
GUCUAGAUAACAAAAAAACUUGAAUCUUAUCGACUUGGUUAGAGCAAGGUCUAGACCAAGAUAAGCUCCCAACAUUCCAGAAGGGAGCUACCAUGAAGACAUGCGAGAAUUCUUACCUGUCAGGUUUCGACAUCAGUCAAUUUUAAUUUCAACUUCAUGUUACCAGCCUGAACGACGAGCUGCCCUUUAGAUGACUCCACUUCUAAAACUGUUGCUUUCUUUCCUAGGGAAGAAACAUGCACCAUAUCGCCAACUUUGGGAACUCUUUUCUUCUCUGCAAUGCAAAUAGAAGAAGGAAAAUCUACUUUGAUGAGAACUUAAACAAUCUUUUUGACUGGUAUUUUCAACCACGAGCA